rnacentral:rRNA from 1 species
GACGAACGCUGGCGGCGUGCUUAACACAUGCAAGUCGAACGGAAAGGCCCUGCUUUUGUGGGGUGCUCGAGUGGCGAACGGGUGAGUAACACGUGAGUAACCUGCCCUUGACUUUGGGAUAACUUCAGGAAACUGGGGCUAAUACCGGAUAGGAGCUCCUGCUGCAUGGUGGGGGUUGGAAAGUUUCGGCGGUUGGGGAUGGACUCGCGGCUUAUCAGCUUGUUGGUGGGGUAGUGGCUUACCAAGGCUUUGACGGGUAGCCGGCCUGAGAGGGUGACCGGCGACAUUGGGACUGAGAUACGGCCCAGACUCGUACGGGAGGCAGCAGUGGGGAAUAUUGCACAAUGGGCGGAAGCCUGAUGCAGCAACGCCGCGUGCGUGAUGACGGCCUUCGGGUUGUAAACCGCUUUCGCCUGUGACGAAGCGUGAGUGACGGUAAUGGGUAAAGAAGCACCGGCUAACUACGUG